ensembl:lncRNA LINC00412 long intergenic non-protein coding RNA 412
CUUUGCGUCACCGCCUUCGCCGGAAGCUGCCUUGUAUCCGCGUCUCCGCAGGGAAAACUGCGGCUGGCGGAUCUGGCUCUGUCACCCAGGCUGGAGUGCAGUGGUGCUGUGUCCGGAAUUGGUGGGUUCUUGGUCUCACUGACUUCAAGAAUGAAGCCACGGACCCUUGCCAUGAGUGUUACUGUUCUUAAAGAUGGUGUGUCUGGAGUUUGUUCCUUCAGAUGUUCAGAUGUGUCUGGAGUUUUUUCCUUCUGGUGGGUUCGUGGUCUUGCUGACUUCAGGAGUGAAGCUGCAGACCUUCGCGUGAUGGAGGUUGAGAAGUCCAACUUCAAGGCACCACAUCUGGUGAGAGCCUUCAUUCCGAUGACAGCCUUCAUGCUGCAACCUGCAGCAGGAAAAUGGGCUUCAGUUUUCAAGUCUGCAGCUGAGUUGGGAAGUUGCGGACAGUAACCAGAUGGCGUCUCACUCUGUCACCCAGGCUGGAGUGCAGUGGCUCGAUCUUGUUUCACUGCAACCUCUGUCUCCCAGGUUCAAGCGAUUCUUCUGCCUCAGCCUCUCAGGUAGCUGGGACUA